rnacentral:pre_miRNA from 1 species
GAUGUACUCCCUCCGUUCGGAAUUACUUGUCACAAAAAUGGAUGUAUCUAGACUUAUUUUAAUUUUAGAUACAUCCAUUUCCGAGACAAGUAAUUCCGAACGGAGGGAGUAUGUA